CGCGGCCUAUCAGCUUGUUGGUGAGGUAACGGCUCACCAAGGCAUCGACGGGUAGCUGGUCUGAGAGGACGAUCAGCCACACUGGGACUGAGACACGGCCCAGACUCCUACGGGAGGCAGCAGUAGGGAAUCUUGCGCAAUGGGCGAAAGCCUGACGCAGCAACGCCGCGUGGGGGAUGAAUGCCUUCGGGUUGUAAACCCCUUUCAGCAGGGACGAAAAUGACGGUACCUGCAGAAGAAGCUCCGGCCAACUACGUGCCAGCAGCCGCGGUAAUACGUAGGGAGCGAGCGUUGUCCGGAAUUAUUGGGCGUAAAGAGCUCGUAGGCGGUUCAGUAAGUCGGGUGUGAAAACUCAAGGCUCAACCUUGAGACGCCACUCGAUACUGCUGUGACUUGAGUCCGGUAGAGGAGUGUGGAAUUCCUGGUGUAGCGGUGAAAUGCGCAGAUAUCAGGAGGAACACCAGCGGCGAAGGCGGCACUCUGGGCCGGUACUGACGCUGAGGAGCGAAAGCAUGGGGAGCAAACGGGAUUAGAUACCCUGGUAGUCCAUGCCGUAAACGUUGGGCACUAGGUAUGGGACCAUAUCAACGGGUUCCGUGCCGUAGCUAACGCAUUAAGUGCCCCGCCUGGGGAGUACGG
rnacentral:rRNA from 1 species